rnacentral:lncRNA from 1 species
AAAAAAAGAAAGAAAAAGAGUAGAACAAAAAUUAUCCCCUCAGUGGUUCGGCAAAAAUAAAUCAUAUAAAGAAAUAAAAUGUAUAUUUUUAAAAAUCUUCUUUUUGCAAUACCAUAUGUUCCUCAGGCCUCCCCAUCCUGGUCUACGUGUAGAGAGGCAAGAUGCAUUCAGACCUUUCCCAGCUCUCUCUUUUGCUGCACCACGCUGUCGACAGCGAUGGAUCAGCUGAGGAAAGCAAGACAUAGCAGGUAAAGAGAUGCCAGUGAUUUUGGAAGAUGAAACUCUGAAUUCAGAAGAGCUCCCUGGAUGUGUGUGAAGUGGAGAGAGUGUAGAAUCUGGCCAUUUACUUGGUGCAUCAAACUUGCUGCCUUUGCUAACAGAAACUAUUGUUGGCACUUCACUGGGUAACAG